CGCUAACCUGAAACUACCCAUCGCCUGGGUCGAUUCUACCCGGAUUUUCAUGUUGUUAGCAGUUGUCAAAAUCCGGGUAACCCGAAAACCCAGAUUGGUUGAAUCUGGGUAAAGAUCUGGGUAAUCGGCACUUUGUCACUUUCCGGCUUGAGAAUAUGGCAGCGGUCAGGCGAACGCUGGCAAUUAUGGGUGUUUCUUCGAAAAUAUGAGGAUAAAUCAAGAGCAAAUUUUGAAUACGCCCUAAGUAACAUUUUGAUUUUAUCGAGAAAAUCGAAUUCAAAGUUUUGAUUUACAUUUUUAAAUCCUAUUUAACGAUAAAACCGAAACCAGUAUAAUAAAUACGCGCCAACGACAUCAGAUAACAGCAUUUAUUGCUUCCUAAUUAAAAAUACGGAUAAAGUUUGAAAAAACAUUAGUUUUUUGCUUCAAAUCAAUUUUACGUCGUUUGGGGUCAGAAAACUUACAUAAGACAUUUUGUUAAGUCAUUCUGAAACCUCUCGGUUACUUUCGUCAUGUGCGUUACGUCGCGUUACGCGAAUUUAUGUUGCUUUCGUCGGUGUGUUUACGUCAUGUAGCCAGCUGUUAUGUUGGUUAGGACUGUUACUUACGUCGUUGUGUUUAUUGAUUUUUGUGAAGAUUGGCACUUAAGCCAAACGGAUUCCUCCGAUUCCUCGAGCAAUAAAGCAACUGUUUCCCGUGGUGCCACAUUCAAAUUCAAUUGCAGCCAGGACCAAUGAUCAGCAGCGAAGAUUUCCAUCUAGGUGGGGGCUGACUAGUCCACGUUUGAUGCGGGAACCAUACCGUGCCCAACAGCAGUCGAUUGAUUCUGGUUGCCACCGUUGGUCAAGAUGUGUGCAUCUUCCCACUGGACCAGAUCGUGGCCAGCUUGUCAACACAAGUGCUACCGAAAGCUGUUCUCGUUCCGCCGACUGGACACCUACUAACAGUGAAAAUGCCGUCGAUGGUCAUUCAAAUAAAUUACUUGCACAAACCCAAGUUUCGCAGCACAAAUUUGAAGGAGACACUUAAUAGAACCACCCUAUCUGGAAUGAGCCUUUUUGUGUCAUAGAAUCCAAAAAAAAAUUACCUAAAAAUUGAAUCAAGCCAUAUUACUGACGUCAGUUAGGCUUAUGAAUAUUCUACUGAUUCUACUCCAAUGGCAAACCAAUAUUAUAAAAGAAUGUAUUGUGGAUUUACCGGCUACUGUAUUCCACCGGUCACUUGAGUAACCGUUCCAAAGUAGCCGCUUUAUAAAAAGAGGAACUUAGAAAUGAGCUUUAACAUUUUUAGUAAAUGCGCUAUUCCUCGUUGCCACAAUGGCAUUCAUGUUUUGACAAUAAAAUUGACUUUAAUAUUAAAACGACAACUUAAGUGACUGGUGGAAUACAAGUAGUCGGUAAAUCCACAAUAAAUUAAAGAACAAAAAUAGACGAAAACCAAACAAUGGACAAUAAAAACUCAAAAGGAAUUUUGGAAAUCUUAAACAUCCGGGACAUAUCUGGGGAAAAGCACAUAUUCACCAAGAUAUUCACUCAUAUUUCGUCAAAAAAAUCGCCUUAAAUAUCCACGUUAUGGUUUCAUGUGUAUUCAACAAGUAUACUACGAUUUGAAAAUUAACACAUUUAGGUGAAUUCUUCGACUUUUAUCGUGAGCGAAAUUAGGAUCCAUUUUGAACGAAAUUUGGAAUCCGCUCACGAAAUUUGGCACUUUUAAACAAGUUAAAAUUAUUACUGUAACUAAGUUGUGUAAUGAUAAGUUGCCUAAUUUAUAUUUUUCUUGGGAACUAGUGUCUGUACUAAGUAUCACAGAAGAAUUUAAUUUGAUAUAUAGCGCAUUUAGUUCACCACUGGACUAUCGCACUAGUUUUCACGAGUGCGAAAACGCAAAUAGAAGUGCGCGAUUGUAUCCAAUCAACUUGGUGUCUUCAGAGCACUUAUUCAGCAUACGUCGAAGAAAUAGUGCGCCGAAGACAUCAAUUUGAUUUGAUGCAAUCGCGCAGUUUUAUUUACGUUUUCGCACUUAUGAAGACUCAGUGCGCAGUCCAGUGGUGAACUAAAUGCGGUAUACCUUAUGAUAAAUUGUCUGUCAUUUAUCAAACUUUGAGAAAUCUUAAGUGCACGAAAUAUGGGCACCCCACGGUAGAAUUGAUUAAUUUUGGAUAGCUAUGGACCCAACAUCCCUGCGAAACCCCCACAACCAACUGUGGUUAAUAUAUUCAUUAUUGAUAAUACAGAUAUAAUACAUAAAUCAUUGGUUAUUAUGUGCACUGCGCUUUUUCCCAAGAUCGGACUGAUGUGUUUCCGGAUGCGGGUGGGUACGAUGCGGCAAAAGGUGACGGAGCCAGUGCAUACGAUGUUUUUCAGGAAAACCAACAACUCCAUGGACAUGACCCAUUUGUUCACGGCAAACGAGAUCUCCAUAGCUCCAUAGCACGAUAUUGUUCGGGUCUUUCAGGCAUUCCAAAAUGGUUCUAAGAAGUUGUUGCACGGUUUCGAUAUCGCUAUUGACCAUGCAUCAGCACUCGCAGACAGUAUCCAGAUUUCAUAUCUAUUUGGACUGCACCGUCUCGUACAGGAUAGUAUUCCAUAGUCUUUGGCUUGUUCCAAGGCUGGUCUCUAAUGGCUCAAUCUGUAGUUCGCCGCUUACUAAGCAUCUUCAACAUGUUCCGGGCCAAAUUUUCAACUGAUGAAGGCGUUGGACAAGCACAUGUUUUCCACAUCACUGCUAAAAUCACGGAACAUUUUCGGCUACACGACUGAUUUCCAGGGUGAUUAGUGCCAGAUCCACCACGGGUCGUACUGUUGUGCAACAUGAAAAGAAUUAAUGCAUUAAAUCAACGAUGAUUCCAACUAACGUUAUACUUACUGCAUACAUAUUGUUAUCAGCAAGUCGUCUUGCGAUUCGUCAGCAGCAGCAUCCUCCGAGGCAUCCUCCCAGGUAGUCGAUCCGUCUGUCUGUGAACCGGUGGGGUGGCUGACGACCAGUUUGAGCCAUUCAAGCUCGCCAAAUUGCUCCGGUCCGGGCACAGAAGUUCGGAAAUGUUUCGACCUCGAUUGCGACACCGAGUCUUCCUCCGGGAAUGUGCUGUAGAUGUAAUCGCUCCUCGGCAGCCGUCCGCGCGGCAAAUUCACUUUGGAAACUGCGCAGCUGGUGCGGGGGUGUUUUUUUUGUGUUUUUGUUUUGUCCCGAGGGGGACGACUCUUCCAGAUAACAUAGAUUUUUAGCCAAAACUGACCAAAACUUACAAGGAUUCUUAUUUUUUUUCAUAAUUUUAACGAAACUGAAGAAAUGGACAAAAAUCGAUCAAAAUCAUCCAUAUCCGAAAUAUCCGAUAAAAUCGAUUAUAAUUUUUGCAUAAUCAUAUCAAAUCGAAUAAAAUCGGUGUACAUCUCUA